rnacentral:rRNA from 1 species
CAAUAGCGUAUAUUAAAGUUGUUGCGGUUAAAAAGCUCGUAGUUGGAUUUCUGCCGAGGACGACCGGUCUGCCCACUGGGUGUGUAUCUGGCUCGGCCUGGGCAUCUUCUUGGAGAACGUAUCUGCACUUGACUGUGUGGUGCGGUAUCCAGGACUUUUACUUUGAGGAAAUUAGAGUGUUUCAAGCAGGCACACGCCUUGAAUACAUUAGCAUGGAAUAAUAAGAUAGGACCUCGGUUCUAUUUUGUUGGUUUCUAGAACUGUGGUAAUGAUUAAUAGGGAUAGUUGGGGGCAUUCGUAUUUAACUGUCAGAGGCGAAAUUCUUGGAUUUGUUAAAGACGGACUACUGCGAAAGCAUUUGCCAAGGAUGUUUUCAUUGA